rnacentral:lncRNA from 1 species
CUCGUGCUUAAAUAUGCGUCAAACCGGUUAUGAAGAAAUAAAACAUCAACACUCAGUGACAGAAACAUCAUAAUGAUUAAGUCUGCAGAACCAUGACUUGGUCUGUGCUGUUGUUCUUGGUACUGAUGAUGUUACUGCCAUUAAACAGGGGAGUCAGUGCAGCCUCCUCACUGCACAUCACCAUAGAAUUUCAAAAUGAGACCAUGAGCAGUGGACUAACAACCAACCAACCAAGUUCUACAGCUUCAACAAAUUGUUCAGGUGACCAUUUGCUUCGCUCGAUGUUGUGGAUGCAGCAUGUCCAUGGGAGCAUCCUUUCCAAUAUCAGUUCUGAGAAGGGUUUUUACCUGGAUUUUGUUUACUCAGCAAUUCACAAUCUAACAUCUACUCCACCACAACCUGUGACCCCUUUCACACACUGUAUUCCUCCUACAACAAAGAACCCAACAGAAACUAGAGAUUGCCAAAGAGUGAUCUUUCACCUCAAUGCCAACAUUUUAUCUUCUCAUGGUGACAGUGAAGAUGUGAUUUUAGAGGCUUUCUCUAAUUUUAUGGAGCAGGUCAUUCAACCAAAGUGUGAGGGAUGUAAAAUAAAAAUCACACACUUAAAGCCGACCUAAGAAGCAAAGACAUGAGUACUACACAAGCUCUGAACUGAAGACACAACAACGACUCAAAUCAUUUUAUUUAGCGUCACAGUCCUUCAUUCUGCCAUUAUCUGAUAGCUUGUGGUUAGCAUAGCAUUCCUCUCGUGCUUAACUGUGCGUCAAACCGGUUAUGAAGAAAUAAAACAUCAACACUCAGUGACA